AGAGUUUGAUUAUGGCUCAGGGUGAACGCUGGCGGCGUGCUUGACACAUGCAAGUCGAACGGUAUGUGGCAACACAUAGAGUGGCGAACGGGUGAGUAACACGUGGGAACGUACCCUACGCAGGGGGAUAACUGACCGAAAGGACAGCUAAUACCGCAUAAGACCGAAAGGUGAAAGGUGCAACUGCACCGGCGAAGGAGCGGCCCGCGGACCAUCAGCUAGUUGGUGGGGUAAGAGCCUACCAAGGCAACGACGGAUAGCCGGCGUGAGAGCGUGGCCGGCCACAAGGACACUGAGAUACGGGUCCUACUCCUACGGGAGGCAGCAGUGCGGAAUUUUAGAUAAUGGAGGCAACUCUGAUCUAGCGACGCCGCGUGCAGGAAGAAGGUCUUCGGAUUGUAAACUGCUGUGGUAAGGGAAAAAUGCCAUGUAGAGUGGAAAGCUACAUGGAGGGAUGGUACUUUACUAGAAAGCCCCGGCUAACUACGUGCCAGCAGCCGCGGUAAUACGUAGGGGGCGAGCGUUACCCGGAAUCACUGGGCGUAAAGGGAGCGUAGGUGGCCUGACAUGUCAACUGUGAAAACCCGGAGCUCAACUCCGGACUUGCAGUUGAAACUGCCAGGCUUGAGGACGGUAGAGGAAGACGGAACUGCCAGUGUAGGGGUAAAAUCCUUAGAUAUUGGCAGGAACGCCGGUGACGAAGGUGGUUUUCUGGGCCGGUUCUGACACUGAUGCUCGAAAGCCAGGGGAGCGAACGGGAUUAGAUACCCUGGUAGUC
rnacentral:rRNA from 1 species